CCUGCCCAGAUCACGGGGAUAACGGUUGGAAACGACAGCUAAGACCGGAUAGGUGGUGACGAGGCAUCUUGUCAUCAUGAAAAGAGCUGAAAGGCUCUGGAGCUGGAUGGACCUGCGGCGCAUUAGCUAGUUGGUGAGGGUAACGGCCCACCAAGGCGAUGAUGCGUAGCCGACCUGAGAGGGUGAUCGGCCACAUUGGGACUGAGACACGGCCCAGACUCCUACGGGAGGCAGCAUG
rnacentral:rRNA from 1 species